ensembl:lncRNA
CCUGCAUUACACUUCAUCCAAUCAGAUGCUGCGUGCACCAACACCUCGUUUGAAUACAGGGAAUAUAAAUAGACACCACUCUGUUACCAACCAGCUUUCUCUUUCAUUCCAGUGUACUGGGAAACUAUGUCCAUCGUGGCUGAGCGUUCUCCUAAAUCUAUCUUUGCCAAGAAGGACAUCAGGAAAGCCACUUCCAAAACAGAAAAGGGGAAGAUGUAAAAGAGACGCCCUGAGACAAGUUACGCCACCUAUGUUUACAAGAUCAUGCCUUCCUCCUGGCCCGCCCACCAAGCGCUCCAUCAUCUCGUCCAGUGAGAUCCAGGACUCUGUGUGCACGCUGCUGCUGGGGGAGAGUGACAAGCACACCGUGCCCGAGGCCAGCAAGGCCGUCAUCAGUUGGUUUCGAGACCAGAUGUGGAGAAGGGGUCUCUUAAAGACUCAAGCAUUUUUGGAGCAAGACCAUGGGAAUAGAUUGGGAGCCAGCAAGACACAGAAAGGGGAGAAGAGCUGUGGAUCUGUUUUUAGACGCACCCCUGAGGGCAGAGUGAAAGAUGUGCUCUGGAAGGGCCGCUUGCUACAAGAGCUUUGAAGGGACAGGGCCUGGGCUGUGCAGCCCGUUUAUCCUUCCAACCUCACUAAUCAGCUAAGGGUCCAGGUGUGGACGAGCAAACGGAGCGUUUCCGGGGGAAGGAUGUGCCUGCGCUUCCUAGUUGCCGUAGAAACGUGACGUCAUCGUAGCGACCGUGACGACUUUUUAAUAGAGACGGAGGGGCUCUGGCAAGAGCAGGUCUCACCUUCAGGUAUCCGAGACGCGGCAGAGGCUGUGGUUCCCCUGGAGGGGGCUGAGCCGCCCCGGGGUGUGGGGGAGACAAAAGGACCCACAUCCAAGUCGCCUCUUUCCCGCUUUGGGACUCGGAGUCCCGGCGGGCUCGUGGGUAAAGGCACUGGGUUCCCGCCGGUCCUAGUGAGUGUGGCGUCCUGCCCCAAGGGUGUCCUCAAGAUACUUUGCUUCUAAGGGCCGGGGCGCGGGAGGUGACACAGGGAAUGGCUCUCUCAGCCCCAGCUCCCCCCUCUGUCAAACGGGAUGAGAUUGCUUAACCCCUAGGAUUGCUGUGAGCGUUCAGUGACAACACCUCUUCAUGCCAGUGGCCAAGCUCCUAUCAGGCGUCUGAAGGAGGCAGCUUCUGAGGAUCUGUGCCCUGCUGGCUGCUGAACCAUCUGCUCCACAUUGAAGGGCAGCCAUCCUCAGGAGACCCCAGCACUUCACAUCCCUGCUGGGAUAUGACUUCUGACUCGAUGGACCGUCAGAGGAGGGCGUGGACUCUGAGCCUCAGAAGCAGGAGCUGACAGAGAAGAACCAAGUGUGCUGGCGCGUGUGCAGACAGGUUCCUGGAGCAAGAGUGAGGAGAUCAGGGUCCCAUCACUGGGACACUUUAGAAAACAUCUGGACCUAGUGACAAACAGGUGACUUGUGACCUUGGUAAGAGCAUGUUCAUUGCCGUCAUGGGCACAGAAGUGAUACUGCAGCGAGAUAAAGAGUCUGUGAGAAUGAAGAAUGUU